rnacentral:misc_RNA from 1 species
GCCGAACGGGCGGACGGCGAAGCCGGCGCCGAAUGUGGCCAGCGAGGCGAGCAGGGCCGCGGUGGCGUCACCCGGUGGGAAGAACUGCGUGGAAAAGAACGCCGCCAGGACGCCGUAGAGGUAGAAGUCGUACCACUCGAUGAUCGUGCCAGCGGCAGAGGCGCUGAUGACGAACGGAAGCUUGAAUCGGUAUUCAGGGGUCGCGGUCACAGCCGUAGCUGAGGUAGCCAUGAUUGGGAUCCUCCGAUUCGGUGCGCCACAGUGGCGCUCACGGACCUGAGCGACGGUUCGGUCCGAUCGUCUGGUGGAUCCCUCGGCGUCCUCCCUCCUCCCGAACGGCAGCACGAUUGGGCCGUGCUCCCUCCGUGGGGUAUGGGUGGCUCACCGUAAUCGCCCGGCG